GUAUUAAAGGUGUUGCCUGCCCAGUGAAACAAUUUUCAACGGCCGCGGUAUCCUAACCGUGCAAAGGUAGCGUAAUCACUUGUCUUUUAAAUAAAGACUCGUAUGAAAGGCUAAAUGAGGACGAAACUGUCUCUUGUAGUUGACCAGUUAAAUUGAUCUCCAAGUUCAAAAGCUUGGAUAAACACAUAAGACGAGAAGACCCUGUGGAGCUUAAAACUAAUACUAUAUGACAAUAGCAUAAGUUUUAAGUUGGGGCGACUUCGGAAUAAAACUAAACCUCCGAGCAUGGAUCACCAUUCCUAACUUAGACCUACAAGUCAAAGAAUAUUAUACGACCCAGUCACACUGAGCAACGAACCAAGUUACCCCAGGGAUAACAGCGCCAUCUUCUUCAAGAGUCCAUAUCGACAAGAAGGUUUACGACCUCGAUGUUGGAUCAGGACACCCAAAUGGUGCAGCAG
rnacentral:rRNA from 1 species